CGGUGUUCUGUAGCAACCACUGCGACAACAGCACAUCACCCGGAACAUCCGCUGUACAUGAUCCUGAACAUGGCAGAUACGCCAUUCAUGCCUGACGUCAUGAAGCCUUCCGAUAAUGUCAAUCUGGUCUCGCGGACCUCGAUGCUAAAGAAACCAUGCUGGCAAUACUCACAUCGCUGUGCCUGCUGACUUUUGUAGUUCUUGUGGUCUCCUUCGUGAUUACUUCCAGCAGUCCUGGUGAGUACUCGCUCCUCUCUUUGAAUAUGUAAGGGUAAA